ACACCUUUUGGAAGGGUCAAACUUCUUGCACAUGGUUCCACAUGAUUUGAAGGAAUGGGUGCAAUCAUGUCAUAAUGUUUUAACUUCUCAAAUAAGCUUGCAUAGGAUUCUCCUAUUGGUGUAAAAUUUUCAACCUUUGUUCCCUUCUAUACCCUUGGCUUGGAUGUGGGUUAUAAGACACUUGAAAAUUUUGUGGAGGCUGGUAGAGAUUUUGCGGUGCUCGUGAUCGCCUUCUAGGGUGUCUUGGUGGCCAGACAUCAUACUGAGGUGCAGCAACAGAGUAUUGAGGGUUCUAAGGUGGAAAACCUGAGAAGGCUGAUCAUACCUUCGAGAUGUUCUCCUAGGACCUCUUCUCGGCCCUGAUGUCAUCAUUAUUCCUUCAACCUUUUCAUUCGGGUCACCAAAAUUACCAAAAUUAUCUGAUUCAAUCUGGUCAACCUGAGUUACAGCUUUGAGAACUGCUUGACCUAUAAUUUUGCCUGUCUUAAGAC
rnacentral:lncRNA from 1 species